UGGGGAAUAUUGGACAAUGGGCGCAAGCCUGAUCCAGCAAUGCCGCGUGAGUGAUGAAGGCCCUAGGGUUGUAAAGCUCUUUUACCCGGGAAGAUAAUGACUGUACCGGGAGAAUAAGCCCCGGCUAACUCCGUGCCAGCAGCCGCGGUAAUACGGAGGGGGCUAGCGUUGUUCGGAAUUACUGGGCGUAAAGCGCACGUAGGCGGCUUUGUAAGUCAGAGGUGAAAGCCUGGAGCUCAACUCCAGAACUGCCUUUGAGACUGCAUCGCUUGAAUCCAGGAGAGGUCAGUGGAAUUCCGAGUGUAGAGGUGAAAUUCGUAGAUAUUCGGAAGAACACCAGUGGCGAAGGCGGCUGACUGGACUGGUAUUGACGCUGAGGUGCGAAAGCGUGGGGAGCAAACGAGGAUUAGAUACCCUGGUAGUCCACGCCGUAAACGAUGAUAACUAGCUGUCCGGGGACUUGGUCUUUGGGUGGCGCAGCUAACGCAUUAAGUUAUCCGCCUGGGGAGUACGGCCGCAAGGUUAAAACUUAAAGGAAUUGACGGGGUC
rnacentral:rRNA from 1 species